rnacentral:lncRNA from 1 species
CUUUCGCUUUAAGCUGCCAAUCAAACCGCUAACUAGACACCACCCUGAUCUGGCACGGACAUUAAGAAGGAUAAGCUUGGAGUGCCCAGUCACCGUGGCGGCCCGGGCCUGGCCCUGGGAGGUGGGCUGCUCCACAGCUGAGAUAAAUUUUUUGAGUCAGUUCACGGCCUGGGCUCUCCAGGUGGCCUCCAAAAUCGAUGGUGACCCUGUGACCCUGUCGAACGGAGGCAGAGCAUCCAACCUAAGGAAGGAUUUAGCCAGGGCCGACAGCUUUCCGCUGAGUGUUAUUGGGGACAGUACAAACAGUUUGGGAAGCGAGGAGGUCCUCGGAUACAGGCAUGAUGCUACAAAGUCCACGUGAAAGACAUCAGAGGGAAAUACUUAUUUGAAGAAAUCUUUGUUAUUAGAUGUAUAGAGAUAGUACAACAGCAAAACUGCAUAUAUAAUUAAUUGAACAGCAAAAUGUAUAUGUGUCUGGGUGCGCAUAUGUGUGUGCAUGCAUGUACUCCUGCUGGAAAAUUUAUUUUCAAAUGGAAGUUUCAGCCAUGGAUGACUUAAAAUAAGCUUUAAACAUAUAAUGAAGACCAUUCUGUGUGUUGCCUGUUGCUUCCUUCGUG